rnacentral:tRNA from 1 species
GCCCAGAUGGCGGAAUUGGUAGACGCACUAGUUUCAGGGACUAGCGGUCGCAAGGCUGUGCAGGUUCGAGUCCUGUUCUGGGCA